rnacentral:rRNA from 1 species
UUUGAACGCGAAGAACCUUACCAAGUUUUGACAUGGCCGGAAAACUCAUGGAGACAUGGGUUCCUUCGGGGCCGGUCACAGGUGGUGCAUGGCUGUCGUCAGCUCGUGUCGUGAGAUGUUGGGUUAAGUCCCGCCACGAGCGCAACCCUCGUCCUUUUUUGCCAGCGGGUUAUGCCGGGGACUCAUUGGAGACUGCCGGGGUCAACUCGGAGGAAGAGUGGGGAUGACGUCCAGUCAUCAUGCCCCUUUAUGUCUUGGGCUGCAAACAUGCUACAAUGGCCGGUACAGAGCGCUGCGACAUCGCCAGAUGGAGCGAAAUCGCGGAAAGCCGGUCUCAGUUCGGAUCGGGGUCUGCAACUCGGCCCCGUGAAACGGAAUCGCUAGUAAUCGCGGAUCAACCACGCCGCGGUGAAUACAUUCCCCGGUCUUGUACACACACACAAA